AUUGAGAAUGAUUGAAGGGCUUGUACAAGACUACUAAAUAGGAAAUAUAAUCAUAAUUAAAUGCGUAAUUAUAGCCACGAUUCUAGUACCUAAAUAUAUUCACACAAUCAGUACAAAUACACAUAUCAUAGCUAUUUGUGGUACAUAUCUUAACAUUUGGUAAUACCUAUAUUAGUUUGAUUGCUUCGGAUAGAACCUUGAACUGUGCAAGUCAAGACUUGAGCAGUUCUUGCUGAUUUGAAAUCUCAUAUUCAUAUUCAUUAAUGAUUUUUAUGUGUGGUAUGCUUGAUGGUGACUUAAUAUGAACCUACCCAACUCCACCU
rnacentral:misc_RNA from 1 species